rnacentral:rRNA from 1 species
GACAGAGGUGCCAAGCGUUAGGCGGAAUCACUGGGCUUAAAGCGUGUGUAGGCGGAUCGUUAAGUACCUUGUGAAAUCCCACGGCUCAACCGUGGAACUGCUGGGUAUACUGGCGGUCUUGGGCCACCUAGGGGCAACUGGAACAAGCGGUGGAGCGGUGAAAUGCGUAGAUAUCGCUUGGAACGCCAACGGUGAAAACAGGUUGCUGGGGGUGUGCUGACGCUGAGACACGAAAGCCAGGGGAGCGAACGGG